AAAAAAAAAAAAGUCAUAGUCUCUUAGUGUGUCUCUUAAUCUAAUUAGAAUUUAAAAAAAAAGUGAAAAAUAGAAAUAAACCCAACACACGUCUCUUAAUUAAGAAAAAAAAGAGACGUAUCUUAUGCGACAGGUGUCAAAAGCUAUGAGUUUUUUUUCGUUCUUUGUUCUCCGUCGUCCUCCUCCUCAAUCUGCCAUGUGAUCUCUGGCUCUCUCUCCCUCUGAUUUUUAUCUUGUCGAUUACUUUCCCUGAACUUCAAGCUUUAGUGGGGUCAAAGACGACACGUAUCCGCUUUACAAACCCGGUUCGUGUAAUCUGAUCGACGAGCAGUUUACAUGUAUAACCAACGGAAGACCCGGCGUUGAGUUUCAGAAAUUGAAGUGGAAGCCAAAGCAAUGCACUUUACCAAGGUUGAAUGGUGGCAAAUUGCUGGAGAUGAUUAGAGGAAGAAGGCUUGCGUUUGUUGGAGAUUUGCUGAACAGGAAUAUGUGGGAAUCUUUGGUUUGUAUUCUUAAAGGAUUAGUGAAAGUUAAAAGUCAAGUCUUUGAAGCUCAUGGACGGCAUCAGUUCCGUUGGGAGGCUGAGUACUCUUUCGUCUUCAAACUGUACGAGGCACAAAGGAAGGUGUAUGCGACCAAGGGUGAGGAACAAGAGACAGGCAAGAAGGAGUUCAUUGAGGAGCCUACAACACAGAUAACUCUUCUUCUCUUACCAUUCUUCUCAUGUUCAGAAAAUAAUCAAAAACUUUUUAUUCAUUUUUAUCACAAUUCAUACAUUUUGAUCACAAAUUAUAAAAACAAUGUUUAAUUAAAAACCCCAAAAUAAGAGACUACCAUUGAAGACCCAAAAUCAUGGUGUUUCUUAAGUGAGUUUCUUAAUUGCUUUUAAUUACUAAAAUAAUGAUUAAGAGACUCAAAUGGGUAUUUGGGUUAAUCAUGCUCUAAAAGGUGAAAUUUCAGUGUUUAAAAAUAUUAGAAUAUACACAUGAUUUUAAUGUUUUUAUUCAAACAUUGUAUAGGAUUUUAAUUCAAGUAGAAAAAACAUCAGCAUACACUACUAGAUUAGAUGUCAUCAUUUUUCAAGGCUAUUGAGGAAAUAUACACUUAUUCACUUGUUUAUACUGAAAACAAAAAUUAUAGUCGCUAUAAAAAGAAAAAAAACUGCAACAGUCACCUAUAAAUCUACGAGUUUAAGAAGCUUCUUUUAAUCACCAUUAGGACCGGCUUAGAUAGGGGGGUGAGCGGUGCGAUCUCCCCGGAUCUAAUCUGUUGUCCUUCUAUUUCUUAAUAGAUAAGAGUCCGAUUUAUUUUUAAAAAUACAUGUAUUUUUAUAUUAAAAAUAAGAAAAGGGGCCCAAAUUUUUUUUAAAAUGAAAGUAUUUUUUUAUUUCCAUAGAUUUAUUUUUAAAAAUACUUCUGAUAUUUUGAAAAAAAACAUAUAUCUAUCAGAUUUUUCCCUGUUCUAAAAAUCGGCCGCCUGGGCGCUACGCGUCACUCUUCCGCCCCGAUUUAUGCCAAAUUGGUUAAAAAAAUCGGAUAUCUGAUUUUCUCCGUCUAGACCGCCUAAAUGACCGCCUAGCCGCUUAGGCGGCCGCCUAAUGUAUUUUUUUUAUUUUUAUUUUAUUUUUAAUAAUAUUUUUAUUUAUUUAUUUGAUCUAAAAUUUUAUAAAUAUCAUUUAUAUUCAUAAUUUUGAUGAAAAUUACACUAUAUUAAGUUUAUAUAUUCUAUUUGUGUGUUUUACACAAUUUUAAACAUGAAAAUGUAUUAAUGUUAUACACAAAUAAGGAUUAACAUGUUUUAUAACAUAGUAAACAGUCUAAAAAUUUUGCCCCGCAUAAUUUCUGAUUAAUCCCUGAUUUUUUCUUUAGGCGCUAGGCCCAACCCGAUCGUCCGACUAGCGCCUAGCGCGUUCCCGAACAGAAGAUUUUUAAAAAAAUAAUAAUAGUUUGGAAAUUAAUUUAUUUUUUGUCCUGAUCACCGUAACCUUUUUAAGAAAGUAUUAUAAAUAAAUAUAUUAAUAGUUUUGCCAAAAUUUUGAUAACAAGAGUAAAUGAAACUCUAAAGAGGUCAAUCUUCUGUUUCAAACUGCAAGACACCUAUAUGGAACUAUCCAGUUACAUAGUGCCAAGUCAUCAGCACUAAAUUAUUGAAUGUCUUAACGUCUGCAGCACAGCCGUUCGAUUAGAGACCCCUUAGAUCAGAUGGCGCUGGAGAGGAAAGGAAACUCACCUGUCUAGGAGACGUGUGGGACAUGAGUUACCUCCCUUACUCAUCCACUCACCCACCCUGCUUGCUUCCUCGCCGGUAGUGAAACCGCGCGAUCAACGAGUGAGGUAUGAGAUGACGUGAUGUUAUGGCUGACGCCUUAGAUUGCCAUAAAUGUUAUGUUACAUAUCCCAUAUAUAUUAAUCGAAAAGCAUUUGAAAAA